rnacentral:lncRNA from 1 species
GAAAAUUGGAUUGUGUCAAAGUUAACAAUCACUUUUGAAUUUUUCUCUUCUCCAAAAAUAAUAGCAAAGCCCAAUUCAAAGGAAAGCCUAUGUAAGGAUAACCCAUGUCCGUUUAGCAAAAUGGAAGAGCAGCCUAGGUUUUAUCUGAAUCACACCUGGGAACGUAUCACCCCGUCGGCGAAUUAAUCUUACGUUGCUGUGAUUCCUACUUAACUUCUUCAUCACCAAACUUGGAAGGUAGUAUCGGGUUGUGCUAGUGUUAAAACGGGAUUUUUAUGUUCAAAUCGACUCGAUUUGUUUGUUGUGAAUGAUUUAAUUUGAACUCAACUCCUCGUAAUUUAUUUCAUUUUCCAGAAUUGUUGUUUCUUGAUGAUAAUCUUUCUCUAGCAACAAUUAUUUUUUUCAAUAAUAUUUCUCUUGAAUUUUUGAUACGGUAGUUUAUGGUUUUACAUUGCCUUAAAAACUGGUUGCCCCUGAAGUGUUAUAGGUGAAUACCCAGGACCAAAAUCCAGUGGGGGCAGUUUCCCCCACUCGACCCCAGGUGGCUCCGCCCCUGUUUUAAUGGCAGUAUCAAUUAUAAGUUUUUAAUGAGGAAAUGUAUGAGAAAUAGAUAAGCAAAAUCAAUAGGAAAAUUGAAACGUUCUUUUUUCCCCUUUUUGAUUCAUGGCUGCCUUUUGUUUUAUUAGAUUUUCGACCGCAUUUAUAGAAAUUGUACUCGAGAAGAUUUUAGCUAUGCAAUCAAAGUUUUUACGAGGACCAUCUCCUGCCUUGCUGAUGCAAAGACUCGACUGUUUAUGUAUGAAAAUGGUGUAGGAUGAUUGAAUUGUGGCUUUUGCAUCAUCAGGAAAAAUUAUAUAGACCAAAUCAGAGUGUGAACAAAUUAUAUACUUGUCAGAUCAUUCAGGACAUGUCAAACAUGGCUUAAGCAUUCUGGUGCAUCCAUAGGGGCGAUAAUUUCCAAGCUAUUUUCAUUUAUCUUUACGAAAUCUUUAGUAUGAACUUCUAUGAUUUUUCUUGGCUGUAGCUUGAAAACUUCGUGAUCAUUGGCUAUUUCAAUGUGUGUAUAUUUGCCCCAUCAUCUCCUUUUGAGGAAGUGUUUGAUCUUGAACGUUUGUUUGCUCAUUAUUGUACAAUAGAUUAGUUUCAUUGCAAUACUGUGCAUACAAAUAGUAUUUUGUGACUAAUUGUAUUUUAUUUAUUCUGUCCCCUGUCAGCUGAAAGAUCUGUUAGAUUCUUGAGAUGGCGACUUUUGCCAGACCUGAGAAUGCUUUGAAACGAGCUGAAGGUAAGUGAUAAUUAUAACUAUUUUUCCUGGCAUAUUCUCACGGCAGUGCAAUCAAUGGUCAAUUUUUUCUUCUUUACAUAGAUCUUUUUUUGUUUGUAUUUCAUGUUUUUUCUCCUCUCCCAUUAUAGUUGCAAUAAAAGAACAUUGG